rnacentral:rRNA from 1 species
UGGGGAAUAUUGGACAAUGGGCGCAAGCCUGAUCCAGCCAUGCCGCGUGAGUGAUGAAGGCCCUAGGGUUGUAAAGCUCUUUCACUGGUGAAGAUAAUGACGGUAACCGGAGAAGAAGCCCCGGCUAACUUCGUGCCAGCAGCCGCGGUAAUACGAAGGGGGCUAGCGUUGUUCGGAUUUACUGGGCGUAAAGCGCACGUAGGCGGACUUUUAAGUCAGGGGUGAAAUCCCGGGGCUCAACCCCGGAACUGCCUUUGAUACUGGAAGUCUUGAGUAUGGUAGAGGUGAGUGGAAUUCCGAGUGUAGAGGUGAAAUUCGUAGAUAUUCGGAGGAACACCAGUGGCGAAGGCGGCUCACUGGACCAUUACUGACGCUGAGGUGCGAAAGCGUGGGGAGCAAACAGG